CUCCAAGAGCCCUUUGUAAUACAGGUAAAAACCUUUUGUCCAUGAUGUCUGAUUCAGGCUAUAUACCACAAUUUAAAAGAACACAUAAUGUGAGACAUAGAAGACACAAGCAGUAGUUAUUACACUGGAUCAUUUAAAAGGAACCUGUUGCAAUAAAAAGGUUAGUUUACAGCGCAAAAUAAAGCAUGUGUUGGACCGCUGAAAAUGUAAAUGUUGCUCUCUUAUUUUCAAACAAAAAUCAUAUUUACAGUAUGGAUCCUUUGCAACAAACACAGAGGGCAGGGAAGAUGUGCUGAUUGGUGUUUCUAUACAAUUAAUCCCAUAUGGGGAAUUAACUUUCAAAUACUAAUGAAGUGACUUUUUGUCUCAGUUAUAAAAUAUACUGAGCUCAU